UAAGCAUAUCAAUAARCGGAGGAAAARAAACCAACAGGGAUUGCCUCAGUAACGGCGAGUGAAGCGGCAACAGCUCAAAUUUUAAAGCUGGCGUCUUCGGCGCACGCGUUGUAAUUUGGAGAGGCAUCUUCGGUUCGGGCGCCAGCCUAUGUUCCUUGGAACAGGACGUCACAGAGGGUGAGAAUCCCGUGCCUGGCUGGCUGUCCCGACCCAUGUGAAGCGCCUUCGACGAGUCGAGUUGUUUGGGAAUGCAGCUCAAAAUGGGUGGUAAAUUUCAUCUAAAGCUAAAUAUUGGCGGGAGACCGAUAGCGCACAAGUAGAGUGAUCGAAAGAUGAAAAGCACUUUGAAAAUAGAGUUAAAAAGUACGUGAAAUUGYUGAAAGGGAAGCGCUUGAGACCAGACUCGGCUGGGGAUGAUCAGCGGCCCUUCUGGGCCGUGCACUUGUCCCCGGUCGGGCCAGCAUCGGUUGAGGCGGCGGGAUAAAGGCCCGGGGAAUGUGGCUCCUCUCGGGGAGUGUUAUAGYCCCRGGCGCAAUGCCGCCAGCCUCGACCGAGGGCCGCGCACUUUGUGCUAGGAUGCUGGCGUAAUGGUCUUCAGCGACCCGUCUUGAAACACGGACCAAGGAGUCUAACAUCUAUGCGAGUGUUUGGGUGUCAAACCCUUGCGCGGAAUGAAAGUGAACGGAGGUGGGAACCCCUCGCGGGGCGCACCAUCGACCGGUCCUGAUGUCUUCGGAUGGAUCUGAGUAGGAGCAUAGCUGUUGGGACCCGAAAGAUGGUGAACUAUGCCUGAAUAGGGUGAAGCCAGAGGAAACUCUGGUGGAGGCUCGCAGCGGUUCUGACGUGCAAAUCGAUCGUCAAAUUUGGGUAUAGGGGCGAAAGACUAAUCGAACCAUCUAGUAGCUGGUUCCUGCCGAAGUUYCCC
rnacentral:rRNA from 1 species